CUUCGGAUGCUGACGAGUGGCGCACGGGUGAGUAACGCGUAUGCAACCUACCUUUCACAGUGGGAUAGCCCAGAGAAAUUUGGAUUAAUACCGCAUAGUAUACAUUUCCAGCAUUGGGGAUGUAUUAAACAUUUAUGGGUGAGAGAUGGGCAUGCGUUCUAUUAGUUAGUUGGAGUGGUAACGGCACCCCAAGACAGCGAUAGAUAGGGGCCCUGAGAGGGGGAUCCCCCACACUGGUACUGAGACACGGACCAGACUCCUACGGGAGGCAGCAGUGAGGAAUAUUGGACAAUGGGCGCAAGCCUGAUCCAGCCAUGCCGCGUGCAGGAAGACGGCCCUAUGGGUUGUAAACUGCUUUUAUACAGGAAGAAACACCCCGACGUGUCGGGGCUUGACGGUACUGUAGGAAUAAGGAUCGGCUAACUCCGUGCCAGCAGCCGCGGUAAUACGGAGGAUCCAAGCGUUAUCCGGAAUCAUUGGGUUUAAAGGGUCCGUAGGUGGACGAUUAAGUCAGAGGUGAAAUCCUGCAGCUCAACUGUAGAAUUGCCUUUGAAACUGGUUGUCUUGAAUCAUUGUGAAGUGGUUAGAAUAUGUGGUGUAGCGGUGAAAUGCAUAGAUAUCACAUAGAAUACCGAUUGCGAAGGCAGAUCACUAACAAUGUAUUGACACUGAUGGACGAAAGCGUGGGGAGCGAACAGGAUUAGAUACCCUGGUAGUCCACGCCGUAAACGAUGGAUACUAGCUGUCCGGCCGCAAGGCUGGGUGGCUAAGCGAAAGUGAUAAGUAUCCCACCUGGGGAGUACGUUCGCAAGAAUGAAACUCAAAGGAAUUGACGGGGGCCCGCACAAGCGGUGGAGCAUGUGGUUUAAUUCGAUGAUACGCGAGGAACCUUACCAGGGCUUAAAUGUAGAUUGACAGGUUUAGAGAUAGACUUUCCUUCGGGCAAUUUACAAGGUGCUGCAUGGUUGUCGUCAGCUCGUGCCGUGAGGUGUCAGGUUAAGUCCUAUAACGAGCGCAACCCCUGUUGUUAGUUGCCAGCGAGUCAAGUCGGGAACUCUAGCAAGACUGCCAGUGCAAACUGGGAGGAAGGUGGGGAUGACGUCAAAUCAUCAC
rnacentral:rRNA from 1 species